CCUACGGGUGGCAGCAGUCGAGAAUCAUUCACAAUGGGGGAAACCCUGAUGGUGCGACGCCGCGUGGGGGAAUGAAGGUCUUCGGAUUGUAAACCCCUGUCAUGUGGGAGCAAAUUAAAAAGAUAGUACCACAAGAGGAAGAGACGGCUAACUCUGUGCCAGCAGCCGCGGUAAUACAGCGGUCUCAAGCGUUGUUCGGAACCACUGGGCGUAAGGCGUGCGGAGGCUGUUUCGUAAGUCGUGUGUGAAAGGCGCGGGCUCAACCCGCGGACGGCACAUGAUACUGCGAGACUAGAGUAAUGGAGGGGGAACCGGAAUGCUCGGUGUAGCAGUGAAAUGCGUAGAUAUCGAGAGGAACACUCGUGGCGAAGGCGGGUUCCUGGACAUUAACUGACGCUGAGGCACGAAGGCCAGGGGAGCGAAAGGGAUUAGAUACCCCUGUAGUC
rnacentral:rRNA from 1 species